AGUGGGGAAUCUUGCACAAUGGGGGAAACCCUGAUGCAGCGACGCCGCGUGAGUGAUGAAGCCCUUCGGGGUGUAAAGCUCUUUCGACAGGAACGAUAAUGACGGUACCUGAAGAAGAAGCUGCGGCUAACUACGUGCCAGCAGCCGCGGUAAUACGUAGGCAGCAAGCGUUGUUCGGAAUUACUGGGCGUAAAGAGUGUGUAGGCGGUGCUCUAAGUUCGGUGUGAAAUCUCCCGGCUCAACUGGGAGGGUGCGCUGAAAACUGGGGUGCUCGAGGGUGGGAGAGGUAAGCGGAAUUCCUGGUGUAGCGGUGAAAUGCGUAGAUAUCAGGAGGAACACCUGUGGUGUAGACAGCUUACUGGACCACUUCUGACGCUGAGACACGAAAGCGUGGGUAGCAAA
rnacentral:rRNA from 1 species